AUACGUAGGGGGCGAGCGUUGUCCGGAAUGAUUGGGCGUAAAGGGCGCGUAGGCGGCCCGGUAAGUCUGGAGUGAAAGUCCUGUUUUUAAGAUGGGAAUUGCUUUGGAUACUGUCGGGCUUGAGUGCAGGAGAGGUAAGUGGAAUUCCCAGUGUAGCGGUGAAAUGGGUAGAGAUUGGGAGGAACACCAGUGGCGAAGGCGACUUACUGGACUGUAACUGACGCUGAGGCGCGAAAGUGUGGGGAGCAAACAGGAUUAGAUACCCUGGUAGUCCACACUGUAAACGAUGAAUGCUAGGUGUAGGGGUUAUCGACCCCUUCUGUGCCGCAGUCAACACAAUAAGCAUUCCGCCUGGGGAGUACGGCCGCAAGGUUGAAACUCAAAUGAAUUGACGGGG
rnacentral:rRNA from 1 species